rnacentral:rRNA from 1 species
UACGUAGGGGCCGCGCGUUGUCCGGAGUUACUGGGCGUAGAGCGUGCGUAGGCGGUGUCUUAAGUUUGUUGUGAAAUCUCCCGGCUUAACCGGGAGGGUGCGGCGAAUACUGAGAUGCUGGAGUGCCGGAGAGGUAAGCGGAAUUCCUGGUGUAGCGGUGAAAUGCGUAGAUAUCAGGAGGAACACCUGCGGUGUAGACGGCUUACUGGACGGUAACUGACGCUGAGGCACGGAAGCGUGGGUAGCAAACAGG